rnacentral:sRNA from 1 species
AUAUUCCCCGCGCCGGGAGGGUGAGAACCCUCGACAGGGUUCGACAAAACGCAACGCGUUUUGCACAGCCGCAGGCUGCCCGCAGGGUGAGCGCAGCGAAGACAUCCCUCCCUCACCGCCA